CCUGGUGGCUCAGAGGUUAAAGCAUCUGCCUGCAAUGCAGGAGACUGGGAUUCGAUUCCUGGUUCAGGA
rnacentral:tRNA from 1 species